rnacentral:rRNA from 1 species
CUACGGGUCGCAGCAGUGGGGAAUAUUGCACAAUGGUGGAACCUCUGAUCCAUCAACUCCGCGUGGAGGAUGACACUUUUCGGAGCGUAAACUCCUUUUAUAUAGGAAGAAGAUGACGGUACUAUAUGAAUAAGCGCCGGCUAACUCCGUGCCAGCAGCCGCGGUCAUACGGAGGGCGCAAGCGUUACUCGGAAUCACUGGGCGUAAAGAGCGUGUAGGCGGAUUAAAAAGUCAGAAGUGAAAUCCUAUAGCUUAACUAUAGAACUGCUUCUGAAACUCUUAAUCUAGAAUAUGGGAGAGGUAGAUGGAAUUUCUGGUGUAGGGGUAAAAUCCGUAGAGAUCAGAAGGAAUACCGAUUGCGAAGGCGAUCUACUAGAACAUUAUUGACGCUGAGACGCGAAAGCGUGGGGAGCAAACAGGAUUAGAUACCCCCGUAGUC